UCUUGAGGUUGAGGGCUGCCUAGGGUACACAGUAUGACCCUGCUUCAAAAACAGAAGAAAGUAAAAGACCUGAUGGUAUAGCUCCAAGGUAGAAGAAUAUUUGCCUAGUAUAUGUGUGUAGCGCCUCUUGUUUCAUUCCCUGUACCUCAAAAUAAACAAUUGACUCUUUAAAUAUGCCCUGCUGUAAUCCCCAGAAUCUGUGCAUGUGACCCCACCCCCAUGGUUUAGGUACUGAGAGGCUGCAUGGGCCACAUUCAGUUACAUUAACAGCACAGAGCUUUCUCACAUUGUGAGCAUUAGAGGAAAUCAAAUUUGAGGAAGGGAUAUAACUAGUGCUUUCUUGGUAGCUAGAGAGAACCAUUUGCAAAGAUAGAAAAUAGUCUCUCUGCUAAGAAUGACAUCCCAACUAUUGGUCAGAACAUCUCACGACUGCAAGAAAAGGCUCUGUCAGCAGGUAAAUCAAAUUCAUUUUUCUCAGAACUUCCAGAAAAAAGGCCCAGCCCAGACAGCAAGCUGCCUCCUAACUUGACUGGAUCUAAUGUAACUCAGGAAAGCUGAAUAGCAAAGGCACUUAACUCAGAAGGGCAUCCAUGCUUCAGAGCCUUUAAUUUGUGUAAAGUAGGUACUUUUUUCUUUGGUGUUUAAGAAUCAAAACUUGUCUAGGCAUGGUGGCGUGUCGUGACCACCCUCGACCAGCAGCUCUCUACAGUGGCGCAAGCCUGUCCUUGCAUUAUACAACUGCAAUCUCCAGGAUGUCAUUGGAAACAAGGGAAAGAAAUCCGGACAGUUUCUGAGGCUUCUCAGUGGAGACUUUUUAAAAUUACCAUCCUUGUGACUAUCUUGAAAACAGGUACAUUUUCCUGCUCCUGGGUCUGUUUUACCACACUGAUCAUUUUCUGGGGGUUCUGAGCAUGCUCAGUUUAGCUGGCACAGCUCUGCCCCUGUGAUAGAUAUUUUUAACCAUGGUGGAUUAUGGCCUUCCAGGAACUGCAAAGCUGCUUUUACAGAAAGACUCUCUCCGCACAUCUUGCUGAGGUGGAGGAGGGGAAGUUGGCUGGAGUGAAGUGUUUGUAUAAUGUGAAGGAAUGGUUUCUGAGUUAAGCAGACUUGUGCCCCCCCCCACACACACACACUCCCUAUGGCUUCUCCAUCCACAUCUCCCAACACCUGAAGCAGUAACUUCAAGUUUCCAAAACAUAGCAGCAGAGUAAUAAACAGCUAGCCCUGGCUCCCUUAGCAACAGGGCAACAGUCAGUAGGGAUUUGAGGCAGGAAAAAACUUUACAGCAGGGAAAGUUUACUCAGUACAAAAGACUCAAGGGCUGGAGAUGUUCUCUAGUGGUGGAAUGCUUAUACAGCACUAACCAGGCCCCAGGUUCAAUCCCUAGAACUACAAAAACCUAAUCCAUAAAAGACUCAUGCUGCUUUCAGAAAACAGUUCGACCCUGUGGCACCUGGAUUAAAAGCUCGGGAAUCCUGGGCUGGAGUUACUCCAUGAGCUUUUGUUAUCUGCUUGUCCCUUCCCUUGUGAAGUGAGGUUGCACCGCCUCCCUAAGACACACAGAAUAAGUGGAAUUAGUACAGCUUUAAUCUGCUUUUCUUUUUGCUUUGCUUUAAUUUUGGCUCUGGAGGUUGAACCCAAGGUAUCACCAGGCUAAGCAUAUGUUCUACCAUUGAGCUGCAGACCUAGCACAAAAUUAGGUUUUAAAAUGACUUGUUGGAAAGCUAGACUGUAAAUUCUCUCUCUCCCUCCUCCCCACCUCUCUCUGCUGUUUCUUAGUUACCAGUUUACCAAGAGUAACUUAACACUAGGAUUCUCUGCCAGCACUAAAAUUAGAUUCUACCACUCUUCUUUCCCCUCCGUGCUUUUGUUUAGGGGAUGUGGGAGUGAUGCUUGCGCUGCUAGAUCUAGCUAGUAAUACACUGAAGAUGGAAAAAAAAAGUUCUAGAAGCACUUUACCUACUAACCUGCUAUUGUCUUUUCAGAAUAAUCCAAAUCUGCCCUGGGACUUGAUCAUUUGACUCUCUUGUAGAAAUGUACCUGAGAAACCGGGCGGUGGUGGCGCAGGCCUUUAAUCCCAGCACUUGGGAGGCAGAGAAUGAAGAAUCCCCAAUUCCUUAGAUCCCGAAAAGACUGGUCCAAGCAGCCCUGCCUCUCCCACUCUCUGAGAAGAGGAGGGAGAAGAACAGAGAAAACAGAAGCUGACAGCUGACAGAAAUGGAGAAGCAGACAUCCGCCACAGACUACAACAACAAGAAUCGCUAACACUGCUGCUAUUCAGUCAAAUUUGUUUAGACUUAUUGCUGCUAAUAUGAA